AGUGAACGCUGGCGGCAGGCCUAACACAUGCAAGUCGAACGGCAGCACAGUAAGAGCUUGCUCUUACGGGUGGCGAGUGGCGGACGGGUGAGGAAUACAUCGGAAUCUACUUUUUCGUGGGGGAUAACGUAGGGAAACUUAUGCUAACACCGCAUAUGACCUACGGGUGAAAGCAGGGGAUCUUCGGACUCUGCGCGAUUGAAUGAGCCGAUGUCGGAUUAGCUAGUUGGCGGGGUAAAGGCCCACCAAGGCAACGAUCCGCAGCUGGUCUGAGAGGAUGAUCGGCCACACUGGAACUGAGACACGGUCCAGACUCCUACGGGAGGCAGCAGUAGGGAAUAUUGGACAAUGGGCGCAAGCCUGAUCCAGCAAUGCCGCGUGGGUGAAGAAGGCCUUCGGGUUGUAAAACCCUGUUGUUGGGAAAGAAAAGCAGCAGGUUAAUACGCCGCUGUUCUGACGGUACCCAAAGAAUAAGCACCGGCUAACUUCGUG
rnacentral:rRNA from 1 species